GUACUCAGUUCGGAUUGCAGGCUGCAACCCGCCUACAUGAAGUUGGAAUUGCUAGUAAUCGCGGAUCAGCAUGCCGCGGUGAAUACGUUCCCGGGCCUUGUACACACCGCCCGUCACACCAUGGGAGUUUGUAACACCCAAAGCCGGUGGGGUAACCUUUUGGAGCCAGCCGUCUAAGGUGGGACAGAUGAUUAGGGUGAAGUCGUAACAAGGUAAC
rnacentral:rRNA from 1 species